rnacentral:lncRNA from 1 species
AAAUGUCAUCCUCUUUUUAAAUAGGUUUGUUUUCUGUGUGUAAAAUCAGCCCUGGCUUUGUCCCUGUUUCACAUCAUGUGUGCUGGUUGUUACAGUUGCUGCAGUCAAUAGCUGUGCUUUAAUGAUUUUAAUCACUCAGCCCUUCACGGCCAGCCCAGCCACAGCGAAUGGAGUGGAUGCUAACCUGUCUUUGGCCAUAAGUGGAAGCAUUCCCUGAAGGAGGGAAGGCUGCAGAUCCACGAUUCACAGAAGGAGAAGAAGAAGUUGGUACAGCACAUGAGGACAGAGGCACAGGAGGGAGAUAAGACAUGGCUGCAGCCAGCUCACGCUCCUGGCUCUGCAGACCGUUUGCAGGUAGGUGACGCACAGAAUCCGCCUGGAACUGGUAUUUUUUGGUGCCCUUCUGCUUUCUGUAGUUUCUGUACUGCUUUGCCAUCGCACAGUAUGUCUAUAAACAUAACCUGCAGUCACCUUUUGUACUUUCUCAUUUUCUCCCCAAGCGAGUGUGGUCUAGUCUGGACUUUGCAGUAAUCUCUGAUGUACAAGCAAAUCUAUUCCAGUGAUGCAGGAARGGAGUCGAGACCUCUGUCGACAGGCCGUCCCUGUCGGUAGGAGGAGAUGCUGGGCUCUGCCUUAUGUUCCACGGCAGAGCGGAAUUUUGCACAGACCAGAGGGACUCAGUUCCUCCCUUAACACGUGCAGUGCGAUUUCAGAGCCGAAGUGCUUGAAACAAAACCGAUAAUAAGGGGUGUCUGAUAGUGGAAAUGCCUUCCUGCCUUUCUGUGAGAUAGUGUGCAGCACCGCUCUCCCGUCUGGCCAGCUCAUGGGCAGGAGCUCCCCAGCCUCCUUCAGCCGCUGUCAAAUUCUUGUUUUACCUGGGUCCUCUGCUGAGCCUACCUGAACUGUUGAUGGGCUUCAUGUGAGGGCAAAGAUCUGGAUUUGGUGUGAGAGGGAGACUGAGUUCUGCUAGGAGUCUAGCUACAGAAGCAAAGAGUGAACUAGCAAUGAAGAAAGACCUCUACUUUAUAGCACUUUGCUAAAGUUUCUUGGAGAUAUGUGUCUUACACUAGCAGGUUCUUCGAAAGAUUGAUUAGAAGUCCUUGAUGGUUUUAAGGAAGAAAAGGCAAGAAUAUAAAGUCUUGUGUUACAAAAGUGCUUUGUAUGAUUCUUCAGAGAUUUUAUUUUUAAAAAAUCUCAUUGUAUAUUAACUAUUCUUUUUGUGCACUU